GUCCACGCCCUAAACGAUGUCUACUAGUUGUCGGGUCUUAAUUGACUUGGUAACGCAGCUAACGCGUGAAGUAGACCGCCUGGGGGAGUACGGUCGCAAGAUUAAAACUCAAAGGAAUUGACGGGGACCCGCACAAGCGGUGGAUGAUGUGGAUUAAUUCGAUGCAACGCGAAAAACCUUACCUACCCUUGACAUGGAUGGAAUCUUCGAGAGAUUGGAGAGUGCCCGAAAGAGAGCCGUAACACAGGUGCUGCAUGGCUGUCGU
rnacentral:rRNA from 1 species